rnacentral:rRNA from 1 species
AUGAACGCUGGCGGCGUGCCUAAUACAUGCAAGUCGAGCGAACAGACGAGGAGCUUGCUCCUCUGACGUUAGCGGCGGACGGGUGAGUAACACGUGGAUAACCUACCUAUAAGACUGGGAUAACUUCGGGAAACCGGAGCUAAUACCGGAUAAUAUAUUGAACCGCAUGGUUCAAUAGUGAAAGACGGUUUUGCUGUAACUUAUAGAUGGAUCCGCGCCGCAUUAGCUAGUUGGUAAGGUAACGGCUUACCAAGGCAACGAUGCGUAGCCGACCUGAGAGGGUGAUCGGCCACACCGGAACUGAGACACGGUCCAGACUCCUACGGGAGGCAGCAGUAGGGAAUCUUCCGCAAUGGGCGAAAGCUUGACGGAGCAACGCCGCGUGAGUGGUGAAGGUCUUCGGAUCGUAAAACUCUGUUAUUAGGGAAGAACAAAUGUGUAAGUAACUAUGCACGUCUUGACGGUACCUAAUCAGAAAGCCACGGCUAACUACGUG